CUUUACCGCAUGAGAUUCUCCUCAGAGCACCAGCUAUCAUGAGGGAAACUUCGGAGGGAACCAGCUACCAGAUGGUUCGAUUAGUCUUUCGCCCCUAUACCCAGCUCUGACGAUCGAUUUGCACGUCAGAAUCGCUACGGACCUCCAUCAGGGUUUCCCCUGACUUCGUCCUGGCCAGGCAUAGUUCACCAUCUUUCGGGUCCCAACGUGUACGCUCUGGGUGCGCCUCUUCUCGCAAUGAGAACGAGACGCCCCGGGAGUGCGGGACGCCGCCACUUGGGCUGACACGUCCAUCCUCCCUCGGUCCGAACUAGUCGGAACUUCAAUUUCAUUGCGCCUUCAGGUUUAACAAAACCGUACGACUC
rnacentral:rRNA from 1 species